GGAUGUGAGGGCGAUCUGGCUGCGACAUCUGUCACCCCAUUGAUCGCCAGGGUUGAUUCGGCUGAUCUGGCUGGCUAGGCGGGUGUCCCCUUCCUCCCUCACCGCUCCAUGUGCGUCCCUCCCUAAGCUGCGCGCUCGGUCGAAGAGGACGACCAUCCCCGAUAGAGGAGGACCGUUCUUCGGUCAAGGGUAUACGAGUAGCUGCGCUCCCCUGCUAGAACCUCCAAACAAGCUCUCAAAGUUGCUAAUUUAACCAUAGUUGCAAAAUUCUUUUUCCCAGGUAAAAUGGAAUAUUCC
rnacentral:snRNA from 1 species